rnacentral:lncRNA from 1 species
ACCUGGGCCCUUUUUCUUUUCAGGUGGAGGGAAUGCUGGCCCCCGGUCUCUCUGGAGCGAGGGGACUCCACGGAUCGGGGACAGGAGACACGCGUCUCCAGCCCCGGGACCCGGCUGUGCGCGCAGGAGGGAGGACCCAGAGCGGGCUCUGCCUGGGCUUGCCUGGGCUUGUUCAGAGCCAGGCUGCUUGCCUCGGUGACUGCGCGGAUCCGGGGAGAUUUCGAGAUUUUGCGGGAGCCUUGGAACCAAGCCCCGGGGAGGAGGCGGCUGGAAGCCCGCGCGACCUGCUCGCCCCGUCCAAGGGUGAGCCCAGGUAAACGCUCGAGUUCUCGGUCUGUGUGAAAGCUGGGAAGGGAGGCAGGAGCUAGACCAAGUGCUUUAAUAAUACCAGUAAUGGGAACCCUGUUGAAUGGUGUGGCCUCCGAGUCAUAAGAAAGAAGAGUGUCCAAGAAGCAACAAAAUGCUCUUUGAUUUCAUAAUCUUUGGAAAGAAAGGAUUCCUUUUUUUUGAGUUUUGCAUGGCUGGCUAUUUCUUUCCUCCUCGCUCUCCAUCGUGGGUACAGGAGGGCUCACUGGUCUGGGAGUGGCAAUGGGGACCGUGGCUGCCCUGCUGCUGCUCACCCUCGCGGUAUCCGAGCAAAUACCUUGAUUUCCUGAAAGUGGGGGCAUCGAAACUAGCUCCCCGAGGUGCUUGUGAACUGCCUCAGAGGGGAAAAGUGCUUUGGUCGCUAAAGUAGUGUUGUGUAAGAAGUCGGGUCGGCCAAUUCGAGUUUUAAGGCGAGGGACAGGAGAGGUUUGCAGUCCCACUGCCUCUCCUCCCCCUCCCCCACACCCUGCCCAGCCGGGGAGCGGCCUGUCGGGAUGAAGGACUGGGAGGCAGGGCACGUCUGGUGGUUCAUCCACCUGGCAAGGAGCAGCAAGAGGCAAAGCAACCUGCCCUGCUUCCGGGGGGCGGUGAGGCUGGUAGCUUGAAUUCGAUUCGGGACCUCCUGUGCCUUUACUGUUUCUGCGCCUGAUGGGGACAGGGAGCAAGGGGACAGCAUGACUGGGCAGAAAGAGCCAGGGCCUGCGGCCUCCUGAUGCAUGGGCACUGGUCUGCAGCUGGGAGUGGCCGGGCGUCCUGGAUAAGUGCCUGGUGGAAUUCUGUAGCCAGGAAUCGUGUCCCGAAGGCAAGAUGGUGCCCUGUAAGUUUUGUGGACCAGUUCUGCCUCUGCCCCCAGGUCUGAGAGACCAUUGGGACAAAUGGCCACUGCCCUGAGCCUCUGUGUAGCAAUGGCCGAGGUGGGUGGGCUGAGCAGGAGGUGGGGGGGCUCCUGUAUUCGUGGACAUUCCCCUUGAAAGUUAUCCAGGAGCAGAAGUCUGAUGGGGCAGCGUCAGCUGGUACCCUGGGCCCACUGGGAUCUGCUGCCUUAUGUGUUGGGGUCUGUUUCCUGAGCUUCCCAAACCUGAGGACUGGCCAAGACUGUCCUGCUCUGCCUGCCAGUCCAGCUUUCUUGCCAGCCUCAAGAAUCCCCUGGUGAACAGGCUCUGCAGCCCCAAGGACUUACACUAUUACUCCCCUCCCGGGGCCCUUGGCACACAUCACAAAUCAAUGACGCUAAAUCUAGACCCGCCUCUGAGCCCUUCUCAUCAUGGAGAGUCAGGAAGCACCUCGCAUGGAUCCUGCCACUUAAUGGCAUUGCCAGACCUGAAUCUGCCCUUGUAACUGGCCCCUGGGCUGGGUGCAGGCAGAGGAAAGGAGGCACAGGAUCCUGCCCCUGGGUCCAGGCUGCUCAGCCUCAGUUGAGAAGAAGUCAGAGACACACACAAGAAGAAAAUGACUAGGCAGGACCCAUUCAUUCAUUCAUUCACUUAUUCAUUCAGCAACUAUUUAGUGAAUCUUUGCUGUGUGCCUGUGUCAUUUAGCUUUAAGACAGCAGUGAACCAAACAGGCCAGUCCUUGCUUUUGUGAGGCAGCUGAUCUGAUUGAGGAAACAGGCCAUCCAUGAACAAAAGAAGUAUUUUAAGACAUUUGGUGGUGAUAAAUGCUCUGAAGGGGUUGGAGGGUGACAAGUGUUGUGGAGGGGCGGUUUUGCUGGAGGGGGUAAGUCAUUGAGAUGAGGGGAGGGCUUUUGGGGAGAAGGGUCAGCAGGUGCGAAGGGGCCUUUGAGAAAUUUGUAAGGAAGCCGGUGAGGCUGGAGGGAGGGGUCACAGGUGAAGCGGGGCAGGGGCUUAUGCCCAGAGAACGUGGCGUGACGUCCAAAGGGCCAUGCUCUGCAGCCUUUGGAGGGUUUUGAGCUGCACCCGUCAUAAUCUUAGGUUUUAAAAUGAUAAUUCUGGCUGUAGCGUAAGAGAAUGUAAUGAGAGGCAGCAGGGCGGUCCUGCUGGAGGCCAUUACUUGGUCCAGGUAGAAACCACAGUGGCUGGAAGAGGGCAGUAGCCUGGAGGGCUUAGAGGCAGUAGGGUUUUGUUUUGUCUUGGUUUUUUUUUUGCCACCCCACCCACACACACCAGGGUGUGAACUCGCAGCACAGCAGCAACCUGAGCCACUGCGGUAACAAUGCCAGGCCCUUAACCCCCUGUGCCACAAGGGAACUCCUAUGAUCUUCACUUCUGAUAGCUGAAAAGAGAGGUGAAGGGAGGCCACGGGCCUCACCUUCUCAGGUGAUUGGGGUGCGGGCUCCACCAGCAGUUUCUGCCGAGUUUGCACUGGUGGCCUUUGCUGAAGGGGCGGCCUGGGUCCCAUGUUAGGACAGGAGAGGACAGAAGCACCUGUUUGUAUUAUUCCACCUUGAGGGAGAGAGUCCUGGCUCCAGCACCCACAGAAAUGGGCCUCAUUUCCUUUUAGCCUGUCUGACAACAAGGGCUGAUGUGUGUGUUUGGUCAGGGAGGACCAUCAGGGGCUACUUUGAACCCUAAUUUUAAUGAUGAAAGAGUCCUUAGGGAUGAAGGCGUUUGGUGGCUGACCUUGGGCGUGCACCCCCCCAUUCUGGGUCUGGCUGUAGCUGCCAUGCAGAGGCUGCUGGAUGCUAGGGUCUCAUCUCUCCCUUCAAAGGCGCCUCAGUUCCCCACUGGGGCCUCCACGGUCUACGAAGUGCAUGGCUUGGAGUCAAGGUCUCGCCUUCCAGCCAAUCUCCUCAUGGGCUGCUUGAAUCUGAAAAUAUGAUUCCUCAUCUGUAAAAUCGGGCGCAUGGUAGGACCUCCUUCAUAGGGUCCCAGUGUCAAAUAAAGGAGAUAAAUGCACAUCGGCCAUGCAUCAGGUGCUGCUCUGGUGUCUGUUAGGUAUCGUCAGUGACAAGGAGCUUUGCUUUCAGAGAGAUUUAAUACUUGCGCUGAAUCAGAAGGACCUUCCUCUACGCCGAUCUAAUGUAGGGAGGUUUUUGGAGUUUUUUGUUAGAUUUUUGCAUUGCAAAUCUCUCUCUCUUCCCCUUCCUAAAAUUUGAAACUUUCAUAUAUUUUUUCUUCUUUUUUGGCUUCCCCAAAGCAUACGGAGUUCCCCCAGCCAGGGACCCAAUCCAAGCCACCGUUGCGUCCUGCACUGCAGCUGUGGCAACGCCGCAUCCUUAGCCCACUGUGCUGCCGAGAUGCUGGUGCUUUCAUUUUUGUAAUUUGUUAACCAGAGUUGCACAUAUUUAAGUGGGACAAAAUGCCUUGGGUGGAUACCAAAAAAACAAAAACACAAAACCACUCUCCUCCUGGAUCCCCAAUUGUGGGCGGGUGGUGACGGGCCCCAGUGCUUGGGGCAGCUCCCGAGCAUGGUGCCCGCCGUCGGCCAGUCUAGUCCUGGGGCCCUACCCUGACCUCUGUGGUCCCAAGUGACCUCCUCCUGCACCGUCAUUUGCUGUUGGUCUUGUCUCUUCCUGAGAAUACUGCUGACUCACUCCUCCCAGCCUCCCCCCUCACCUGGCUCCGGGCUGGUCAGCUCCUGCCUGAUUCCCGGCCCCCCUUCCAGACCACCAGCCCAUCCUCCUCCUGGCAGAUCCGCCCCAGGGUACAGCACGGCUCCCUGUGAGGAAAGCAGAGUUUCAACACUCAGAGGAUGGGAAGGUGGGCGGGGAAAGGGUGGUUCCGACCAGAGGAGAGAGAACUGGCCUGACAGUCCAUGGGGGACGGAUGUUAGUUGACUCGAGCCAAAGGGCUUCCUAGUCCCGACGUUACACAUAUUCUGAGGCUGUCACAUCAUCUCACAACCAAGUUAAUUAAAAUCAACUUGAAGAUGGGUGACUCCUGCCGUGAUAACCUCCUUUGGUCAUGAAACCCACCCCCAGUGAUGGAGUGAAGCAGGUUGAAAAUUCUGGACCACGUUAUCAGUUGCUGACCGACACGGUUCCUCCCCCAGCAUCACUGCCAGGCAAGUGGUGAUUCUCGGAAUCAUCCACCCAAACCGCAGAGCGAAUUCAGAUCUCUUGCCUCCAACCUGGAGUUACAGAGAGACUGUUUUAGAUCGUCAGCUGGGAAACAGCUGCUCGGGAGCCUGUGUUGAAUUGACUUACCCAGGGUACCACCCAGUCGUCUCCCGGCCCUGAACGCCCACCUUCCCGGUCAGGGCAGAACCAGGGCACGGAUGGGGGCUGGGAUGGACAAUGACCCUGCAGCAGUGAGCGGGCAGCUGUGGUGGCCUCUUCACGGGCGAGAAGGGAAGACAGGCCCAAAGGAACCUUUCAGACCGAGCCUGCACCCCGAGGCCCACCUGCUCGCCAGAGCCCCCCCGCUUUGGCACCUUUGGGACUGUCCUAUGCUCUCAAAAGCCAUUUAACCCCAGAGCAUUUCAGAAACUUCCCUUCCCUUUGAGCCACUCCUAAGCCACAUCAUUCCACGCUGGGUGUUAAAAGAGAAAAAGAAAAGGCAAGCCGGCGCUGCCAGCCUCGCCUUCUCUCCUCUUCACCAGAGAAUCACACCUUCUCCCAAGUGCUUCCAGAAAUGCAAGCUUCGCGUGUGUACACACAGUGCUAAUUAUGUUCAUUUAUGCGAAUUGUUUCCAUUUAAGCCUAAUUACUGUACUGGAGGCUAACACUUAUCCUUAAAUAUGUGUCAAAUUAACUCGGUUAGAAGUUGUGUUUAAGGCAGUGGAAGAAAUAGAACAUUGUUUGGGAGGGAGCUGGUCCUUGUUUUACUCGUCAUUUCCUCAGCCCUUUUUGUUCCGUUUUGGUUUUUGUUUUUGCUUUUUAGAGCCUUCCUCACGGCAUAUGGAAGUUCCCAGGGUAGGGGUCAAAACGGAGCUACAGCUAGCAGCCUACACCCCAACCAUAGCAACGCGGGAUCCAAACUGCAUCUACCACGGCAACACUGGACCCCCGACCCACAGAGCAAGGCCAGGGAUUGAACCGGCAUCCUCGUGGAUAUUAGUCAUAUUUGUUUCCACUGAGUCACGAUGGGAACUCCUCUCAGCCCAUUUUUAUCUUGGAACAAAGAAUUCCUGUCGUGGAGUUCCCACUGUGGUGCAGUGGAUUAAGGAUCCAACGUUGUCUCUACAGUGGUUGGGGUCGCUUCGGAGGUGGGGUUUGAUCCUCAGCCUGGCACAGUGGGUUUAAGGAUCCGGCGUUGCCACAGCCAUGGGCUAGAUCACAGCUGUGGCUAGGAUUUGAUCCUUGGCUGGGGAACUUCCAUAUGCCAUGAGGCAGCCAGAAAAAGGGGAAAAAAAAUUCACAUCCUGGGAGUUCCCAUCAUGGCACAGCGGAAACAAAUCCGACUAGGAACCAUGAGGUUUUGGGUUGGAUCCCUGGCCUCGCUCAGUGGGUUAAGGAUCUGGCAUUACUGUGAGCUGUGGUGUAGGUCACAGAUGCGGCUCAGAUCUGGUGGUGCUGUGGUUGUGGUGUAGGCCGGUGGCUACAGCUCCCAUUUGAGCCCUAGCCUGGGAACCUCCAUAUGCCUCGGGUGCGGCCCUAAAAAG